rnacentral:lncRNA from 10 species
CAGGCAUGUGCCACCACGCCCAGCUAAUUUUGAAUUUUUUAGUGGAAACAGAGUUUCCCCAUGUUAACCAGGCUGUUCUUGAACUCCUGGCCUCAAGUGAUCCACCUGCCUCAGCCUCCUAAAGUGCUGGGAUUGCAGGUGUGAGCCACCAUGCCCAACUCACUGAGGCCUCUCAAUUCAGCUUUUCUAUGCCAGGACCCUUCAGCUCACUGGGCGGGGGUGCAGGGCCUGACCUCAAUCUCUUGUGCUGCAGAGUGAGGCUGUGAAUCUGCCUCCUGCUGGCUCUGGGCACAGUCUCUACACUGCCUGGGCACUGCCCCUGGCUUCCAACUUUUCUCAGAUGCCCUUCUUUGGGCUCCAGGGCCAUGGCUGGGAUCUGGGGGCAGAUGAGACAGAGGCUGAUACCAUGGGGGUCAGAGAGGCAGGGCAGGGGGUAGCUUCCGCUCUGUCCAGGGAUGGGGAGGCCAGCUCAGGAAUCCAUUUAGAACCAGUAAAAGCCUGAGCUGGAAGGGCCUUUCUAGCCUUCUGUUUCCCCUCUACAACCUGCAGAUGGGAAGGCCACGGGACAGAAAGGAACUGGGCAGAGGUCACUCCCCACCCCAUCUAGAGGGUCCACAUAUGCUACCUUCAGGGGCUGCAAGGUGGAGGUGGCUGGAGGCUCCUGUCCUGGUGCUGGAGCCCUUGGUGCUCAGACCUGCAGCAGCUCCCACUCCCUGAGGACACAAUUCUCAGCCUGACCAUCAGAACUCUUAGGGUCUCCUAGACCCCAUCGGCGGCUCUGACCCUCUUUUAUGAAAGCACCCAAAGAGCACCUGAGGCAAAGGACAGCAUCCCCCACCCUAUUGAGCUCCUCAUUGCAGGAGCUCAAAGAUGAUGACCUCAGUCAGAAUGAAAUGGUAUUUAAGCACAAGCCAGUAGCUGUUGCCAUCCUGGGGAAUGUGCUGUAUUGUCUGUCACUGGCAGCAUUGCAUUACAUCAAACUAUUGCCUGAAUAUCACAAGAAGUGCAAACAAAGCCUUAUGGAUUGAACAUUGCAUAAAAUAGGCCUUGUGUGUGGCGCAGUGGCUCACGCCUGUAAUCCCAGCACUUUGGGAGGCCCAGGUGGGUGGACCACCUGAGGUCAGGAGUUCAAGACCAGCCUGGCCAACAAGGAGAAACCCCAUCUCUAUUAAAAAUACAAAAUUAGCCAGGUAUGGUGGCGCAU